rnacentral:rRNA from 1 species
GAUGAACGCUAGCGGCAGGCCUAAUACAUGCAAGUCGAACGGUCCGCUUCGGCGGAUAGUGGCGCACGGGUGCGUAACACGUAUGCAACCUACCUUACAUUGGGGGAUAGCCUUUCGAAAGGGAGAUUAAUACCGCAUAAGACAGUAGCUGGGCAUCCAGUAGCUGUUAAAGAUUUAUCGAUGUAAGCUGGGCAUGCGUCCAAUUAGUUAGUUGGUGAGGUAACGGCUCACCAAGACGAUGAUUGGUAGGGGAACUGAGAGGUCAAUCCCCCACACUGGCACUGAGAUACGGGCCAGACUCCUACGGGAGGCAGCAGUAGGGAAUAUUGGGCAAUGGACGCAAGUCUGACCCAGCCAUGCCGCGUGCAGGAAGAAGGCGUUCUGCGUUGUAAACUGCUUUUAUAUAGGAAGAAACGACCCUUGCGAGGGGCAUUGACGGUAUUAUAUGAAUAAGCACCGGCCAACUCCGUGCCAGCCGCCGCAGUAAAAC